UACGUAGGGUGCGAGCGUUGUCCGGAAUUAUUGGGCGUAAAGAGCUUGUAGGCGGUUUGUCGCGUCUGCUGUGAAAUCCGGGCUCAACCCGGACUUGCAGUGGUACGGGCAGACUAGAGUGUGGUAGGGAGACUGGAAGUUCCUGGUGUAGCGGUGAAAUGCGCAGAGUAUCAGGAGGAACACCGAUGGCGAAGGCAGGUCUCUGGGCCGGUACCGACGCUGGAGGAGCGAAAGCGUGGGAGCGAACAGGAUAGAUACCCGAGUAAGCUCCAG
rnacentral:rRNA from 1 species